UGCAUGCUUUUACAGUAUGAAAAUUGGUGAUUUAUAAUAACUUAGCAAAUCGCAAAGUGAAAACAGGCGAUAAAUCAUUCAAGUUUCUGACCUAUCAGCUUUCGACGGUAUGGUAUUGGCUUACCGUGGCAGUGACGGUUAACGGGGGAUUAGGGUUCGAUUCCGGAGAGGGAGCCUGAGAAACGGCUACCACAUCUAAGGAAGGCAGCAGGCGCGCAAAUUACCCAAUUCUAACAGUUUGAGAGAGGUAGUAACAAGAAAUAACAAUACAAGGCAGUUAAAAUGCUUUGUAAUUGGAAUGAUAGAAAUUUAAACCCUUUUUAAAGUAUCAAUUGGAGGGCAAGUCUGGUGCCAGCAGCCGCGGUAAUUCCAGCUCCAAUAGCGUAUAUUAAAAUUGUUGCAGUUAAAAAGCUCGUAGUUGAAGUUCUGCUAAAAGUAACCGGUCUGCUUUGAAUAAAAGUGGUAUCUUGGUAUGUAUUUAGCAAUGAUGUCCUUUGAAGUGUUUUUUACUUUAUUGUAAUAAAGCAUAUUCAGGACUUUUACUUUGAGAAAAUUAGAGUGUUUCUAGCAGGCCAACGCUUUGAAUACUGCA
rnacentral:rRNA from 1 species